rnacentral:rRNA from 1 species
AGGACGAACGCUGGCGGCGUGCUUAACACAUGCAAGUCGAGCGGUGAUCCUCCUUCGGGAGGUGAGCAGCGGCGAACGGGUGAGUAACACGUGGGCAACCUGCCCCUCACACUGGGAUAACCUCGGGAAACCGGGGCUAAUACCGGAUAUGACCUCGAGCGGCAUCUCUUGAGGUGGAAAGCUCCGACGGUGAGGGAUGGGCCCGCGGCCUAUCAGCUUGUUGGUGGGGUAAUGGCCUACCAAGGCGACGACGGGUAGCCGGCCUGAGAGGGCGACCGGCCACACUGGGACUGAGACACGGCCCAGACUCCUACGGGAGGCAGCAGUGGGGAAUAUUGCGCAAUGGGCGAAAGCCUGACGCAGCGACGCCGCGUGAGGGAUGAAGGCCUUCGGGUUGUAAACCUCUUUCAGCAGGGACGAAGCGAAAGUGACGGUACCUGCAGAAGAAGCACCGGCUAACUACGUGCCGAGCAGCCGCGGU